rnacentral:rRNA from 1 species
CCUACGGGAGGCAGCAGUGGGGAAUUUUGGACAAUGGGCGCAAGCCUGAUCCAGCAAUGCCGCGUGAGUGAAGAAGGCCUUCGGGUUGUAAAGCUCUUUUGUCAGGGAAGAAACGGUGGUUCCUAAUACGGACUACUAAUGACGGUACCUGAAGAAUAAGCACCGGCUAACUACGUGCCAGCAGCCGCGGUAAUACGUAGGGUGCAAGCGUUAAUCGGAAUUACUGGGCGUAAAGCGUGCGCAGGCGGUUAUAUAAGUCAGAUGUGAAAUCCCCGGGCUCAACCUGGGAACUGCAUUUGAGACUGUAUGGCUAGAGUGUGUCAGAGGGGGGUAGAAUUCCACGUGUAGCAGUGAAAUGCGUAGAUAUGUGGAGGAAUACCGAUGGCGAAGGCAGCCCCCUGGGAUAACACUGACGCUCAUGCACGAAAGCGUGGGGAGCAAACAGGAUUAGAUACCCUGGUAGUCCACGCCCUAAACGAUGUCUACUAGUUGUCGGGACUUAAUUGUCUUGGUAACGCAGCUAACGCGUGAAGUAGACCGCCUGGGGGAGUACGGUCGCGAAGAUUAAAACUUAAAUGAAUUGACGG